UUAAGCGACUAAGCGUACACGGUGGAUGCCCUGGCAGUCAGAGGCGAUGAAGGACGUGCUAAUCUGCGAAAAGCGUCGGUAAGGUGAUAUGAACCGUUAUAACCGGCGAUGUCCGAAUGGGGAAACCCAGUGCAAUUCGUUGCACUAUCGUUAACUGAAUACAUAGGUUAACGAGGCGAACCGGGGGAACUGAAACAUCUAAGUACCCCGAGGAAAAGAAAUCAACCGAGAUUCCCCCAGUAGCGGCGAGCGAACGGGGAGCAGCCCAGAGUCUGAAUCAGCUUGUGUGUUAGUGGAACGGUCUGGAAAGUCCGACGGUACAGGGUGAUAGUCCCGUACACCAAAAUGCACAGGUUGUGAACUCGAAGAGUAGGGCGGGACACGUGGUAUCCUGUCUGAAUAUGGGGGGACCAUCCUCCAAGGCUAAAUACUCCUGACUGACCGAUAGUGAACCAGUACCGUGAGGGAAAGGCGAAAAGAACCCCGGCGAGGGGAGUGAAAAAGAACCUGAAACCGUGUACGUACAAGCAGUGGGAGCACCUUCGGGUGUGACUGCGUACCUUUUGUAUAAUGGGUCAGCGACUUAUAUUCUGUAGCAAGGUUAACCGUAUAGGGGAGCCGCAGGGAAACCGAGUCUUAACUGGGCGUUAAGUUGCAGGGUAUAGACCCGAAACCCGGUGAUCUAGCCAUGGGCAGGUUGAAGGUUGGGUAACACUAACUGGAGGACCGAACCGACUAAUGUUGAAAAAUUAGCGGAUGACUUGUGGCUGGGGGUGAAAGGCCAAUCAAACCGGGAGAUAGCUGGUUCUCCCCGAAAGCUAUUUAGGUAGCGCCUCGUGAAUUCAUCUUCGGGGGUAGAGCACUGUUUCGGCUAGGGGGUCAUCCCGACUUACCAACCCGAUGCAAACUACGAAUACCGAAGAAUGUUAUCACGGGAGACACACGGCGGGUGCUAACGUCCGUCGUGAAGAGGGAAACAACCCAGACCGCCAGCUAAGGUCCCAAAGUCAUGGUUAAGUGGGAAACGAUGUGGGAAGGCACAGACAGCCAGGAUGUUGGCUUAGAAGCAGCCAUCAUUUAAAGAAAGCGUAAUAGCUCACUGGUCGAGUCGGCCUGCGCGGAAGAUGUAACGGGGCUAAACCAUGCACCGAAGCUGCGGCAGCGACACUAUGUGUUGUUGGGUAGGGGAGCGUUCUGUAAGCCUGCGAAGGUGUGCUGUGAGGCAUGCUGGAGGUAUCAGAAGUGCGAAUGCUGACAUAAGUAACGAUAAAGCGGGUGAAAAGCCCGCUCGCCGGAAGACCAAGGGUUCCUGUCCAACGUUAAUCGGGGCAGGGUGAGUCGACCCCUAAGGCGAGGCCGAAAGGCGUAGUCGAUGGGAAACAGGUUAAUAUUCCUGUACUUGGUGUUACUGCGAAGGGGGGACGGAGAAGGCUAUGUUAGCCGGGCGACGGUUGUCCCGGUUUAAGCAUGUAGGCUGGUUGUCCAGGCAAAUCCGGAUAAUCAAGGCUGAGGUGUGAUGACGAGGCACUACGGUGCUGAAGUAACAAAUGCCCUGCUUCCAGGAAAAGCCUCUAAGCAUCAGGUAACAUCAAAUCGUACCCCAAACCGACACAGGUGGUCAGGUAGAGAAUACCAAGGCGCUUGAGAGAACUCGGGUGAAGGAACUAGGCAAAAUGGUGCCGUAACUUCGGGAGAAGGCACGCUGGUGUGUAGGUGAAGUCCCUGCGGAUGGAGCUGAGACCAGUCGAAGAUACCAGCUGGCUGCAACUGUUUAUUAAAAACACAGCACUGUGCAAACACGAAAGUGGACGUAUACGGUGUGACGCCUGCCCGGUGCCGGAAGGUUAAUUGAUGGGGUUAUCCGUAAGGAGAAGCUCUUGAUCGAAGCCCCGGUAAACGGCGGCCGUAACUAUAACGGUCCUAAGGUAGCGAAAUUCCUUGUCGGGUAAGUUCCGACCUGCACGAAUGGCGUAAUGAUGGCCAGGCUGUCUCCACCCGAGACUCAGUGAAAUUGAACUCGCUGUGAAGAUGCAGUGUACCCGCGGCAAGACGGAAAGACCCCGUGAACCUUUACUAUAGCUUGACACUGAACAUUGAGCCUUGAUGUGUAGGAUAGGUGGGAGGCUUUGAAGCGUGGACGCCAGUCUGCGUGGAGCCAACCUUGAAAUACCACCCUUUAAUGUUUGAUGUUCUAACGUUGGCCCCUGACCGGGGUUGCGGACAGUGUCUGGUGGGUAGUUUGACUGGGGCGGUCUCCUCCCAAAGCGUAACGGAGGAGCACGAAGGUUAGCUAAUCCUGGUCGGACAUCAGGAGGUUAGUGCAAUGGCAUAAGCUAGCUUGACUGCGAGCGUGACGGCGCGAGCAGGUGCGAAAGCAGGUCAUAGUGAUCCGGUGGUUCUGAAUGGAAGGGCCAUCGCUCAACGGAUAAAAGGUACUCCGGGGAUAACAGGCUGAUACCGCCCAAGAGUUCAUAUCGACGGCGGUGUUUGGCACCUCGAUGUCGGCUCAUCACAUCCUGGGGCUGAAGUAGGUCCCAAGGGUAUGGCUGUUCGCCAUUUAAAGUGGUACGCGAGCUGGGUUUAGAACGUCGUGAGACAGUUCGGUCCCUAUCUGCCGUGGGCGCUGGAGAAUUGAGGGGGGCUGCUCCUAGUACGAGAGGACCGGAGUGGACGCAUCACUGGUGUUCGGGUUGUCAUGCCAAUGGCACUGCCCGGUAGCUAAAUGCGGAAGAGAUAAGUGCUGAAAGCAUCUAAGCACGAAACUUGCCCCGAGAUGAGUUCUCCCUGAGACUUUAAGUCUCCUGAAGGAACGUUAAAGACGAUGACGUUGAUAGGCCGGGUGUGUAAGCGCAGCGAUGCGUUGAGCUAACCGGUACUAAUGAACCGUGAGGCUUAACCUU
rnacentral:rRNA from 1 species